CUUAAAUUGAAGAGUUUGAUCAUGGCUCAGAUUGAACGCUGGCGGCAGGCCUAACACAUGCAAGUCGAGCGGUAGCACAGGGGAGC
rnacentral:rRNA from 1 species